CCCUAUUAACCAAUGCCAUCUGCUUCUGUAACCGAUGCUUGCUUUCCGGCCUUUGGCUUUAUAUACUUUGCACUCCCCUAUUCAGGGCUUUCUCUCUCCCACUCCCUCUCCCACUGGAGUGUGGUCGGAGGGUCCCUCGCAUGCGAGGACAAUAAAAACCCCUUGAUUUUUCAUGAGAGCUGGAUCCUUGGGACCUUCUUCACGAUGGAGAUCUUACAUUUGGAGGCCCCAGCAAGAUCUGUCCCCCACCUUGACGAGAGAGGCCCCAAUGGCCAUGAAGUGUCUCUUGGGGGUUCUGAGUUAUCACAUUUAGGCGCUCGGUCCGGGAUGAGAACAAGACCCCAGACUCAUUUCUGAACAUCUGAAAGUAAGUACUCUGGAGGUUUUGUUUGGGCCAUGAUCAAUUUGUAAUUUGGAGGGGACACUCCCAAUUUGGCAGUGGGGCCCCUCCCCCCUGAAGACAGAGUCAUUUGGGGGUUUUUUUGGACAAAUUCUGCCUGUCUGAGAUUCUGCCCUGGGUGGGAAACCGCUCCAUCGGUUAAUUUGUUAAUUCCUCCAGAUUCCAAAAUUUGACUGAUUUUUGAGCAAAGGCCAUUUUGCUAUAGCUUGUCUUGUCUUAUACAUCUGUGUGUCCAUUUGUUCUAAUUGUUCUCCUUUUAGUUACCCCAAAUCUAACAGAACAUUCUCUCCUAGGAACACCUUCUACAAGCCCAAAAUGGACUAAAGGAUUUAGAUACUUAUGUUCAGAGUUUUUGUACUUUACAAUUGUUUGCCUGUUUAAAUUUGUUGCUAAAUUACGGGCUUAUUGCCCAUUUCUGUUGUAGAAUCCAUAUGGCUUGUUAGAUUCAACGUUCAUAAUAAGAAUUAUUUCCUUUAGCUCACCAAACUAUGCACGAAGCACCCUUUGUUUGUGUCUCUAAUGUUUUGGCGCCUUGUUUAAUGUGUAAGGCUUCAAUUGACUGCUUGCAACCUCAGCAUGCCUUUUAAAAGGAGUAUUUUUCUUUUUGGUUAAAAUGUGAACACAUGUGCACAUAUACAUGUAUAUUUAUGGUUUGUAAGAAUCAUGUCAACUUUACCAAGUAAAAACCAGUUCAUACUAUAUUUGAGCCAGUUAAAAGGUUACAGUUUUGUUUUUAAAAAUACAGCAUUUUUAUGUGGUAAAACAUAAAAUAAUUAAGUAUAUUUUAGACUACUAAAAGGUGACUUCAAGGGUUUUGUUAAGAGUUUUGAUGCUGUCUGAGAAGUGAGAGGUAAGGUAAUUGACUAGUAAUAAUAAAAAGAGGGAUUAAAAAAAAGGGUGUCUUGUCUUCAAGUAAAAAUGUCUGGCUGUCCCAGAAUGUAAAAAAGAUAAAAGCUUAACUUGGGGGGGGUAUAAUGUAAAUUGUAAAAGGCUCAAGAGGAUAUAAAUUUUAUUUGUCUUGGUUUAUAUUAUUACAAAUAACAGGUUUGACAAGAAGUAAAUGUGUACAAAAUUUGACAGUAUUAGAUCAGUUUUGGUAAAAGUAUUCAUAAGAUUGUACUUUACUGUAAAAGGUUUCCAUUAAAAUGAGAUUAUAGGUGAUACUAGAUAUAAGACACAAGUUCUUGCAUGUGCUAUAAACAUCUGGGAGAUUAUACAACACAGUUUUGUUAGUUAUAAAAAAGCCUUUUCUUGUUAAGAAUAUAAUUUCAGUAAAAUGAUGGCCUGCCACGUGACAUCCUGGAAAAGAAAAAAAAAAAAAAAGAGCAGUGUGCCAUCCAAAUGAAACCGGUUCUCUGAUCUGGAAUGCCAAAACCAUGUUCUCCUUUUGUCCCACCCCGAUUGGACAUCCAGAGGCCCCUGGGAAAGAAAGAGGAAGUUGUAAUCAAGGAGAAAAGAGGAAGUGGCCAUAUGAGAGGUGGUGACCUUUGAGGAUGUGGCUAUGAACUUCAGCAAUGAGGAGUGGACUUUUCUGAGUACAUCCCAAAAGAACCUCUACAGAGAUGUGAUGGGCGAAAUCUUUAGGAACUUGACUGUGAUAGGUAUUUCUAUGUCUACAAUUCAGGAAGAGUUUGGGAUAUCCAGGAAGCUGAAAAAGAAUGCAAAAUUUACUGGAGAUACUUAAGAAAUGAAAAGCUAGGGAAAUCCUAUGGACAUACACCUUGCAAUCAAUGUAAAGAAGUAUUCCUUUGUACUGCAGAAGGUAAUGUGAAUGAGAAAGAAACAGAAACACACUACAAUGUUCAGAUCCAUAAAAAAUAUUGCAGUGGAGGUAAACCCUAUGUAUGCAAGCAAUGCGGUAAAGGUUUUACCACACAUGGAAUUUAUAAGAAACAUGGAAGAAUUCACAGAGGAGAGAGACCCUACAUAUGUAAGGAGUGUGGGAAAGCUUUUACAACAUAUACAUAUUGUUAAGCACAUGAAAGUCUACACUCUGGAGACAAACAUUAUAAAUGCAAGCACUGUCAGAAAGCUUUCAGCACAUGUACUUAUUGUGCAAUCCAUGAAAAACUUCACAGGCAGAAAUUGUAUAUAUGUAAGAAAUGUGGGAAACCUUUUAUCAGUAACAUUCAUUGUCAAAUACAUGAAAGAAUUCACACUGGCAAGAAACCCUAUGUAUGUAAGCAAUGUGGAAAAGGUUUCACCCAACCUGGAAAUUGUAAGCAACAUGAUAGAAUUCACACUGGAGAGAAACCCUAUCUAUGUAAAGACUGUGGGAAAACUUUUACCACACGUGGAGGGUAUAAACAACAUGAAAGAACUCACACUGGAGAGAAAACCUAUGUAUGUAAGCAAUGUGGGAAAGCUUUUACCAAACACGGACAUUGUAAGUAACAUGAAAGAAUUCACACUGGAGAGAAACCCUACAUGUGUAAGCAAAGUGGGAAAGUUUUACCCUACAUGGACAUUUUAAGCAACAAGAAAGUUGACACUGAAAAUUAAUCCAGUGUAUAUAAGCAUCGUGAGAAUGGUUUGAGCCCAUGUACAUAUUGCAUAAUGCAUGGAAUCUUCACACUGGGCAAAAAAGUUAUAUAUGUAAGGAAUGUGAGAAAGGUUUCAGCAGAAACACUCAUCGUCCAAUACAUGAAAAAAUUUACACUGUUGACAAACCCUAUGUAUGUGAAGAACAUGAGAAAGCUUUCACCACACAUGGAUAUUUUAAAAGACAUCAAUGACUUCACACUGGUGAGAAACCCUAUGUAUAUAACAAUGUGGCAAGCUUUUAAUGCAUAAAGUCACUGCAAAACAUGUGAAAGAAUUCACACUGGGAAGAACCACUGGCUAUGUAAGCAAGUGGAGACACUUUCAGCAGCCAGAGCCAUGUAUUUCACUUACAUGAAGAAACUCACACAACAGAUAAAUCCUAUGUGUUAUGGGAAUCCUCUCAGCAUACAUGAUCAUUGUUACAUAUCUGAAAGAGCUCACUGGGCUGAGAUCCUAUGUGGAUUAGCAAUGUGCGAUAUAUUAGCAAUCCAUAUUUGUUGUUAAAUACCUAUUAAAAGCGUCACUGGUCAGACAGUUUAGAUCUAAGUUUACUUUAAAAUUCCCUAGGAGACUUGAAGAAAUAAUCACAAAUUUUGCAGAAAUGACAAAUCUGAGGUGGAGCUCUCCUCAAGUGCACAUGUUGCAAGGUUUUCAGUUAAUCACUUGUACCUCUCUAGAUUUUUUAAAGUGUCUUUGUGCUUCAAUAUGGCAUUUUGUAAUUAAACAUGUUAAACUGAAAUGUGCUUUUCAUUUUCAGGUAUGGAUAGUUACUGUUGUAGUCAGGGGUGUGCACAGAGAACAGUUGGAUCAAGACAAAUGUUUAUAAUAUUAUUUUUAUAAUAGUCACCGGGAGUUAACACAGGAAACUGCAGGGAGUCUAUCCACAGUCUUUACAUACAUAGGGAUUCUCUCCAGUGUGAAUUCUAUCAUGUUGCUUACAAUUUCCAGGUUGGGUGAAACCUUUUCUACAUUGCUUACAUACAUAGGGUUUCUUGCCAGUGUGAAUUCUUUCAUGUAUUUGACAAUGAAUGUUACUGCUAAAAGACAUAGAUUAUUUAGUCAAGAGCAUAAACCCCAUAGCAAUGUCCCACAUGAGUCCAGAUAAAAAUCCAGAGCUCAGGACAAUGCCUACUAUUAGUCCAACUGGAGGUCCAGAGCACAAAAGAAGGAUUCAUGGAGUGUCUUUUAUGGAUUCAUGCUGGAAAGACUCAAGGGUCAGUGGUGGAAGCUAGAAAGUCUAUGCCAGCUGGAUGAUGGAGCUGUGCUAGUGGGAUGAGUGUUCUAUGCUGGAGUUGAGAAGUCACAGUCACAACAAAGAACAGGUCUAUCCUGAAAGGUACUACAGCAGUCCUCAGUGACACAGAGGCCCAGAGCUCCUCCGAUGAGAAGCACAGUCGAGUACAUGCCUGGAACCAGUGUGAUGAGCUCAUUCUGGAGACCAAGCAGCACAUGUCUUCCUAUCCAAGCCCUUCCCAGCCAAGAAGUAAUGCUCAAUGUGAGGACCAAGGCUUCUUCAGGAGAACCAACAGCUCAGACAGCAACUCGUAGGACAACCCACAAUGCUUCCUUAAUGCCUCAACCCUCAUCACCUCCUUUGUUCUCCUCGUAUUUAUCCUGGCAACUUACCUCAGGUGGAACACCUUUGCUCAAUGCCAUGCUGAUGUAAUCCAGCUGACAUUCAGUUGACCACCAGUUCUUAAUGCAAAACAGUAUCUAUGUACUUAAUGUUUUGUCUUUAAAACUUAAUUUUCAUAUUUUUUGGUGAAUUGUUAUGUUUUUGUUUAAAGAGAAAAAACAGAAAAAAGGUAGAAAUAACACAGAAUUUCAAAAAAAUAACAAGAAAUCACUAGUUGAUAAGUUACAUAUUGUCAUCUUAGAAAUAGUUGUUCAAGUUAAAAAAUUAAAGCAUACAAAGUGGCGUUCAAAUAAUGACACUGUGAACAAUGCUGCUCAAUGAUCCAAUAAAAACUUAGUAAUAUGCUUAUCUCUCCUAUGUACCUAUUUUUUAAUUUAAGGAGGGUAAGAUUAAACAUGACAAAACAGUACAGUACAGUUCAUAAGAAAACAAGUUAAAGAAACACAGAUUUCAAAGCAGCUCCACUGGAGAUGUUCACUGUUUAUCUUACUGUCUCUAGUUUUCUUUUAAAUAGUUGUUCCCAUAUUCACACGCACUGAAUAUAUACUGAACAUUAUAGAACUAAUCAAAUAAUUACAGGAUGAUGCAGGUUUUUUGGUCUUCAAGUACUGAUUUUGGGGAAGUUUAUGAUAAUUACAAUAAGGCCUUUCACUCUCUUCGUGGUAGCUGUCUUUAUCUUUAUGUAUGCUGAAAUUCAACAUACGAGACUAGACUACUGUCUUACUUACUUUUUACUCAUCGCUGAGACAAAAUACCUGAAGCCCAAAGUUGGGAAAGGAAAGGUUUAUUUCAUAAAAUUCUUUGAGGUUUCAGUCCACACUUAGUUGGCUCCAAGACAGGCGGGCAUGGCUGGACCACAGUUCAUGGCAGCUGCCAACAGCAAGCUCAAGCCAGAAAAAGAGAAGGAGACACCUUCCUGCCAUUACAUCACAUCCUGGCUCCACCCCUUUGUGGGUGGAGCCCUGACACCUUCAAUCCAAGCACUAGAUACUGAACGAAUAACAAAUGCACAAUUCAAAUUUAUGAGGCCUGGGGGACACAGACAGAAACCAUGACAACUAUUAUCACUCUGAACAGUGAAUAAUAGUAUCCUGAGAAGGAGAAAGGUGAGGAAUUGCCUAAAAAAAGAAGGCAGAGGGCAUUGUUAAAAGUGUAUCAGGAUUUAAAAGCUACAGUAGAUUUAUUGCUCUGUUUAGUUUGAUUAUAUUUUGUUCUGGUCUGUCUACUCAUAUUAGAUUUGAGGGCACAGACAUAUAACCCAAAAAUAUCAGGUUAUACCAUGGUAACUAUCCUUAAUUUCUUAUUAACUUAAACUGAAACCCUAUAUUACUUACAUUGUCUUACUAUGACUAAUAUUUGAAGCUGGUUUGUCUGAAUGCUAUUUGGCCUUGACUGAUUUUAUUCACAUUUGGUAUGCUUGCUGGUAUCAAGUCUAAGAGUAGAGGCAACUACUCUGAAGAUGACAAGAUGUAAAAGAUAUGCAUUGGGGCGCUGGGGAUUUAGAUCAGUGACUUAAGCACCUGUCUGGCAAGUGUGAGAUCGUGAGUUUGAUCCCCAGUACCAAAAACAUAAAUAAAUAAAAGAUAUCCA